rnacentral:rRNA from 1 species
AUUGAACGCUGGCGGCAGGCCUAACACAUGCAAGUCGAGCGAGCGGCGGACGGUUGAGUAAUGUCUGGGAAACUGCCUGAUGGCGGGGGAUAACUACUGGAAACGGUAGCUAAUACCGCAUACCAUCAGAUGUGCCCAUAUGGGAUUAGCUAGUAGGUUGGGUAACGGCUCACCUAGGCGACGCUCCCUAGCUGGUCUGAGAGGAUGACCAGCCACACUGGAACUGAGACACGGUCCAGACUCCUACGGGAGGCAGCAGUGGGGAAUAUUGCACAAUGGGCGCAAGCCUGAUGCAGCCAUGCCGCGUGUGUGAAGAAGGCCUUCGGGUUGUAAAGCACUUGCAGCGGGGAGGCGUUACUCACAGAAUAAGCACCGGCUAACUCCGUGCCAGCAGCCGCGGUAAUAC